UACGAAGGGGGCUAGCGUUGCUCGGAAUCACUGGGCGUAAAGCGCACGUAGGCGGCUUUUUAAGUCAGAGGUGAAAUCCUGGAGCUCAACUCCAGAACUGCCUUUGAUACUGGAGAGCUUGAGUCCGGGAGAGGUGAGUGGAACUGCGAGUGUAGAGGUGAAAUUCGUAGAUAUUCGCAAGAACACCAGUGGCGAAGGCGGCUCACUGGCCCAGUACUGACGCUGAGGUGCGAAAGCGUGGGGAGCAAACAGG
rnacentral:rRNA from 1 species